GUAUUCAUCAGGUUCUGCCUCCAGGUUCCAGGCCGGACCCAGAAAGCCGUUGGGAGGCGGUUGGGCGUGGCAACGGACGCUAUCCGAAGCCACGCCCACUUCGGCCUGGAGGGCGGGGCAGCCUAACGGAAGCCGCACCCUCCAAGUCCUGGAGCACCGACCCUUCCUCCUGGCUGCUUUGGGGUUGCAGAAUAGAAAGACCCUACCCCGAAUUAGGGCCUGGAUUGGAACCAGAGGAUUGGAGCGGCCAUAGGGACACGGGGGAGGACAGCAAUUGCCUGCGUUGAGACCCUUGCCGCGAGGACAGCCGUCGCCGCUGCGGAGGCCCCUGGCGCGGGUCUACAGAGCAGUGCGUGUCCCCAUGUGACCCGCGCGCUGCGGAGACUUAAGGGCACGUCUGGGAGCUGCCGCCUAUGCGGAGGGCGCGAGUCUGCAAGGCCUGCGCUAUGCUGACAGCUCGGCUCUGCACCUGUACGGGGCUGGAACUCAAGAGGAAGCACUGCUCUUGUCGCCCUCCUGAGAGGCGGGGGGACUGGAGAUGGCCAGCCAGUGUCUACACAGCAGGAUGCGGAACCGUCGCCCGGCAUCGUCCCCUCUGCGUUCCGUGGGGACAGAGCGACACACACCACCCCCACUUUGCAUCUCAGGUGCUGGAAAACAGGAACGCCUCACCGAGGAGGAAGCACCGCGCCAAGGUCACCGGGAGUUUUAGGUCAAACCAAGAAACGAAGGAUGUCAAGUAAAAGGGCUGCGGUCCCCUGUCCUUCCGUGACCCCUACAGAUGGAGUGGGAGGGCGGGCUCCGAGUUUAGCGCACUAUACUAAAGUGGCCUCAGGAAAAAGAUAACUUCCAUUUUGUAUCCUAACCUUAAAAAUCCAGACAUGAAACGGAAGGGAAACAGGUAAUGAAAACCACAUGUACUCCUGAGAGCUGCUCGACACCUGUUAAUUUUAAAUUUGUUACACUUCUAGGGGGUACUGGGGGAGGCAGGAGAGUCUGGAGUUCCAGGCCAGCUUGGUCUACACAGUUCCAGACUAGCAAGGACUAGGCUCUCAAUACAAAGCCCUGGCUGGCCUGGAUCUCACUAUGCAGUUCUGGCUAGUUUGAAACUCCCAUGGAGACCAGGCUAGCCUCAGACUCCCAGAGAUCCACCUGAGUUUGCUGCCCAAGAGCUGGAAUUAAGUGCAUCAGCCUGCCCUGCAGACCUGCUGUCUUGCUUAUUCAGUGGGGACCACUGCCAAGAGUCAGUUCUCUUCUUCCACCGUUCUGGGGAUCAUCUUAGGCAUGGCUGGGUAAGUGGCUAUACCUGCUGAGCCAUCUGGCCACUAAACAGGGUCUCCCUCUGUAUCCCAGGCGAACUUGUAAUCCUCCUGCCUGAGACUCAAGUGUAGUUCGGUUUACAAGUGACAUUAGCUGAACCUGGUAACCAACUUCUGUGAUCCCUAUGGUCAGAAAAUGGAGGCAAGAGGACCAAGAAUUCCGGUGCAAUAUUGGCUCCAUGUUGAAUUUGAGGCCAGCCUGGGCUAUGACUAUAUGAAACUGUCUCUGAAAGUAAGAGUGGGGGCUGCUCUUCAAGAGUACCCAGAGUCUAUUCCCAGCACCCACAUGAUGGCUCAUAACAAUGGAACUCUAGUUCUAAGAAGUCUGAAGCCACCUUAUGGCCAUGAGGGUAGUAGACAUGCAUGUGGUACACAGACUUAGGUUGUUUUGUUUUUUUCAAGACAAGGUUUCUCUGUGCAGCCAUGACUGUCCUGGAAUUUGUUCUGUAGACCAGGCUGUCCUCAAACUCAGAGAUGUCAGAGAGCUACCUGCCUCUGCCUUCCUUCCAAGUAUUGGGACUAAAAGCAUGCAUUGCCACCACCCAGCUAUCAACUUCCUAGUUACUUUUCUGUUGCUGUGAUAAAACACAAUGACUAAGCCUUUCGAUAUGUGGUGCAUGAUGUUAAUUCUAGCACCAGGUAGGCAAGCGGACUAAUGAGUUCAAGGCCAGCCUGGUCCGCAGAGCAAGUUCCAGGACAGCUGGAACUGGGUUCUCUAGAGUCACAGAGCUUAUGGAACGAAUACAAUAUGUAAAGGGAAUUUAUUGGAAUGACUCAGAAGCUUCAGUGUAGCUGUGGAUGGAAAGUCCAAGAAUCCAGUGGUUAUUCAGUCCCACAAGGCUGGAUAUCUCAUCUGGUCUUUUGUGUCUGCUGGAAUCAUGGAGAAGUAGGCUCCAGUGUUAGUAAAGGAAUUGAUGUACUAGUAAGGCGAGAGCAAGCAGGCAAAGAGCAGACGCUUCCUUCUGUGUUCCGUCCUCCUGUGAGCUUCCAGCAGAAGGUGUAGCCCAGGUUAAAGGUGUGUCUUCCCCUUCAAAGGUCCAGACUAGAAGUGGAUUCAUCCACUUCAAACCAAGCAGAGUAUCUCUCAUAGAUGUGCCCUCCAUUUCUGGAUGUCAGGUUGACAACCAAGAAUAGCCAUCACAACUAAGGCUAUACGGAGAAAUCCUGUCUCAAUAAAGUAAACCAAACAACCAAAAGAAAAAAAGAAAAAAAAAAACCAACAAGACUAAAAGUGACUUCUGGAAGGAAGAGUUCCUUGUCUCCAAUUCUACUUCCUCCGGUGAAGCCACACCCUCUAAACCUUCCCAAACUGGGAUCUCUACCAACUGGGGACAGAGUGUUAAAUGCCUGGGUCUAUGGUGGUAUGUCUCAUUCAAGGCAGCGCAGAAGUCCCUGCUAUAGUUGAUCCAGUUGUCCAGCCUCACAGGAUUUGGAAGUCCAGGUGUGCACCACCACAUGCCUGGCUGUUGACUCUGUGUGGGGCAUUUAUUGAGGGAUGGUCUCACCACCUAGGCUAGCCUACAAUGAGAAAUGUCAUUAAGGAGAGACCUGCUCAGUCGGGCAUGGUGGCGAAUGCCUUUAAUCCCAGCACUUGGGAGGCAGAGACAGGCAGAUUUCUGAGUUUGAGGACAGCCUGGUCUACAGAGUGAGUUCCAGGACAGCCAGGGCUACACAGGAGAGACCUGCUCCACCCUGGAAAAAAGGGAAGAGUUCCCUCAGAGUAUGACUAUACAGGGUUUUCUGGCAUAAGGGUAUCUUGGCAGUUGGGAGCCAAGGAAUACCACAAAGUCACACCACACAACAAACCUCCCACAGAAUUUAUUGGAAAGAGAAAGAAUGGUGGGUCCCUCUGGGUAAGAACAGCUACAGCAGUGGCUGCAUGGGGAAAAGGACUUUCUAUAGGUUUUAGGAACAGGCACAGUGAGCAUGGAAAAGUACAGAGCUGUCAUAAGCAUUGUUCUGCUGUUAAUACUGAAUCCUGAGGAGGGGGAUUUCCUGUCUCAGGAGCCGGGGUCAAGCCAGGGGCAGGCUGACCCUCCUUUGGCCCUUUUCCCUGUGUUCCCCCCUUUUCUGUUUAGCAUUGAUAACUAAUGAGGAGUCAGGGAAGAGGACAGUAUCAUUAAGCUACUUCCUUCUGUGUGGGUGUUGAAGUCCAUGGGGCAAGCAUGGUCUUCACCAUUAGGACAUGCUCUGGGGUCGUAGGUCUCUGGUCCUCGUAGUUUGGUGGAGAAGCAGGGUUAGGGAGGGUAGCAUCCAAUUCCAUAGGACCAUCAGUAAUCCAUCAGCGAGAGGCAUUGAGCUGUUCUUUACAUUUUUGAACAUCUAUCUGGAGUUGUCAGAUCUUGUCUUUACUAUGGCUAAUUGGCUGACAUAGAAACGUCAUUCCUGCCUGAGGAAGAGGCAAAGGUCACUCUUCUCCACCGUUCGUAGAUCUGAUCCUCAAUUUUUCUCUAAUGGUUUUAAAGUUGUUUGCAUGGAAACAAGAAUUUUUCUUAAAGACAGACAAUAGCUUUUGUGUCCUGCAAAAAGCAGGUCAAGUACCCUAUCAUGUUACAGAACUAUUUAAGCAAAUUAAUCUAUCUGUUGAUAAAUUUGGGUCUAUUUGGUUUUAACAGGCACCUUUUCUGUGGUGGUUUGAAUAUGCUUGGC